GUAAGGAAUAUUGGACAAUGGACGCAAGUCUGAUCCAGCCAUGCCGCGUGAAGGAUUAAGGUCCUCUGGAUUGUAAACUUCUUUUAUAAGGGACGAAAAAAGGCUUUUCUAAGUCGUCUGACGGUACCUUAUGAAUAAGCACCGGCUAACUCCGUGCCAGCAGCCGCGGUAAUACGGAGGGUGCAAGCGUUAUCCGGAUUCACUGGGUUUAAAGGGUGCGUAGGCGGGCAGUUAAGUCAGUGGUGAAAUCCUAGAGCUUAACUCAAGAAAUGCCAUUGAUACUAUCUGUCUUGAAUAUUGUGGAGCUAAGCGGAAUAUGUCAUGUAGCGGUGAAAUGCUUAGAUAUGACAUAUAACACCUAUUGCGAAGGCCGCUUACUACGCAUAUAUUGACGCUGAGGCACGAAAGCGUGGGGAUCAAACAGGAUUAGAUACCCUUGUAGUCC
rnacentral:rRNA from 1 species